CGGCGACUUAUCCGACUCGAAGUUGGUCACCAGGUCCGACGCGCCGCCGUCUGUCGAAUCACGAAGCGUGGAUCCCACGUUUUGUUUCACUUUACCCUACCACUUUGGAUCUCGUUCUACUGAGCGGUGCCAAGAGAACCCGAGGAGAAAGCAAGAGAAGAAUGCGCAGUACCUUGUGGAUGUCGAUGCAGGGGCGGAACCGGACGGUACAGCUGAUCGAGCGAGGCUUGCUGUGCUUCCUCCCCAUCCUCCGAUGGCUCGCGGGGUGGGAAGAGGACAACGGGUUGCGAAGAGGGAUCGGGGUCGAAGGAGACGACCGGAGACUAGGGAGCGUGCGAGUAGUCAGUGGCAUCCCUUCGGGUGGAGCUGCGAUGAGGAGAGAGGAGGUGGUGGCGGACGCGGGCGGCGUAGCGGCGU
rnacentral:lncRNA from 1 species